rnacentral:rRNA from 1 species
UACGGAGGGUGCAAGCGUUAUCCGGAUUCACUGGGUUUAAAGGGUGCGUAGGCGGAUAGGUAAGUCCGUGGUGAAAUCCUGCAGCUUAACUGCAGAACUGCCAUGGAUACUAUUUAUCUUGAAUAUCGUGGAGGUUAGCGGAAUAUGUCAUGUAGCGGUGAAAUGCUUAGAUAUGACAUAGAACACCCAUUGCGAAGGCAGCUAACUACGCGAUAAUUGACGCUGAUGCACGAAAGCGUGGGGAUCAAACAGGA